AACGAACGCUGGCGGCGUGCUUAACACAUGCAAGUCGAACGGAACGGCCCUGCUUAGUUGGGGUGCUCGAGGGGCCAACGGGUAACUAACACGUAAGUACCCUGCCAUUGCCUUUGGGAUGACUUCAGAAAAGUGGAUCUAAUCCCGGAUAGGAGCUACUGCUGCAUGAUGGGGGUUGGAAAGUUUCGGCGGUUGGGGAUUGACUCGCGGCUUAUCAGCUUGUUGGUGGGGUAGUGGCUUACCAAGCCUUUGCCCCGUGGCCUGCCUGAUAGGGUGACCGGCCAAAUUGGGAUGGAGAUGCGACCCAGCCCCCUACGGGAGGCGGCAGUGGGGAAUAGUGUACUAUGGGCGGAAGCCUGAUGCAGUAACGCCGCGUGGGGGAUGACGGCCAUCGGUUUGUAUUGCGCUUCCGUCUGUCACGAAGUGAGAGUGACGGUAAUGGGAAAAGAAGCACCGGCUAACUACGUG
rnacentral:rRNA from 1 species